GGUAAAAUGGCUGAAUUUAGGUAAUAAAUUGUAAAUUUAUUUAUGAAGAUUAUUCUUCUUUUACCA
rnacentral:tRNA from 1 species